rnacentral:rRNA from 1 species
AGUCGUGUUGCUUGAUAGUGCAGCACCAAGUGGGAGGUAAACUCCUUCUAAAGCUAAAUACCGCCAUGAGACCGAUAGCGAACAAGUACCGUGAGGGAAAGUUGAAAAGCACUCUGAAUAGAGAGUCAAAGAGUACGUGAAACUGCCUAGGGGUACAAACCCGUUGAACUCAAUAGACCGGGGCGGCGAUAUUCAACCGUGCGUCGGCGCGCACCCGUGCGUGCUGGCCGCGGGGCACUUAUCGAUCCGCAGCGUACGGACAUCGCGAUCCAUUACGAAAGUGCCGGGGUGCGCAAGCGCCCAGUGCAUGGUCCAACAAGGGUCUCAGGCUUGUGCAGUCGACCCUCCAGUAGCGGCACUUAGCUCAGAAGGCCUGUGCUGCGAACGGGGGAUUCGGUGCGUGCGGGCAACUGCAGGUAUCGAAGUUCGGCCUAGCCGAGUGUACCGUUGGAAGCGUGAUGGACUCACACGGAACGGGGGUAUAUGGAAGCGCUUGCCGCAAGGCAAGUACCGGCACCUUAGCCAUGGAGCGACCAUUGUCCUGAUCGGCGAUGUAUAACACUUAUUGAGGUACCUACGGGACC